CAAAAUGACUCUCGGCAACGGAUAUCUCGGCUCUCGCAUCGAUGAAGAACGUAGCGAAAUGCGAUACUUGGUGUGAAUUGCAGAAUCCCGUGAACCAUCGAGUCUUUGAACGCAAGUUGCGCCCGAAGCCAUUAGGCUGAGGGCACGCCUGCCUGGGUGUCAAA
rnacentral:rRNA from 1 species